rnacentral:rRNA from 1 species
GGCGGCAGGCUUAACACAUGCAAGUCGAGCGGUAGCAGAUCUAGCUUGCUAGAUGCUGACGAGCGGCGGACGGGUGAGUAACGCGUGGGAACCUGCCCAGUAGUGGGGGAUAGCCCGGGGAAACUCGGAUUAAUACCGCAUACGCUCUACGGAGGAAAGAGGGGCUUCGGGCUCUCGCUAUUGGAUGGGCCUGCGUGAGAUUAGCUAGUUGGUGAGGUAAUGGCUCACCAAGGCGACGAUCUCUAGCUGGUCUGAGAGGAUGAUCAGCCACACUGGGACUGAGACACGGCCCAGACUCCUACGGGAGGCAGCAGUGGGGAAUAUUGCACAAUGGGCGCAAGCCUGAUGCAGCCAUGCCGCGUGUGUGAAGAAGGCUUUCGGGUUGUAAAGCACUUUCAGUGGAGAGGAAGGCCUCGUAGUUAAUAGCUGCGAGGAUUGACGUUACCCACAGAAGAAGCACCGGCUAACUCCGUG